rnacentral:tRNA from 3 species
UGGCUCUUAGUUCAGUGGUAGAGCGUCAGAUUUUGGAUCUGGAUGUCCUUGGUUCGAGUCCAAGAGAGCCAG